GGGUUGGUGAGGGUAGUAGAGAAGGGGCUGGUGAGGGUAGUAGAGAAGGGGUUGGUGAGGGUCGUAGAGAAGGGGUUGGUGAGGGUAGUAGAGAAGGGUUUGGUGAGGGUGGUAGAGAAGGGGUUGGUGAGGGGACUAGUAGAGAAGGGGUUGGUGAGGGUAGUAGAGAAGGGGUUGGUGAGGGACUGAGGGUAAUAGAGAAGGGGUUGGUGAGGGUGGUAGAGAAGGGGUUGGUGAGGGUAGUAGAGAAGGGGUUGGUGAGGGUAGUAGAGAAGGGGUUGGUGAGGGUAGUAGAGAAGGGGUUGG
ensembl:lncRNA